UGCCAGCCGCCGCGGUAAUACGAAGGGUGCUAGCGUUGUUCGGAAUUACUGGGCGUAAAGAGCAUGUAGGCGGAUGAAUUAGUCAGAGGUGAAAUGCACGAGCUUAACCGGUGAAUUGCCUUUGAAACUAUCAAGCUAGAAUUAUGUUGAGGUCAGCGGAAUGAGUCAUGUAGCGGUGAAAUGCAUAGAUAUGACUUAGAACACCGAUUGCGUAGGCAGCUGGCUAGGCAUAUAUUGACGCUGAGGCACGAAAGCGUGGGGAGCGAACAGGAUUAGAUA
rnacentral:rRNA from 1 species